rnacentral:rRNA from 1 species
GACGGAGGGUGCAAGCGGUGUUCGGAAUCACUGGGCGUAAAGCGCGUGUAGGCGGUCCGAUAAGUCGAGUGUGAAAGCCCGAGGCUCAACCUCGGAAGUGCAUUCGAAACUGUCGGGCUUGAGUACGGGAGAGGGAAGUGGAAUUCCUGGUGUAGAGGUGAAAUUCGUAGAUAUCAGGAGGAACACCGGUGGCGAAGGCGGCUUCCUGGACCGAUACUGACGCUGAGACGCGAAAGCGUCGGGAGCAACCAGG